CUCAACCAGCCAACCACUAGGCCCUCGUCUCCCUCCUCUCCUCUUUCCUUUUUCACUUCCCUCUUCUCCUUCCCUUGCUAUCAUCUUCUUGUUCCUAAUUUUUUUUCUAAUUUUCCUCCUUUUUCUCCCUAUUUUUCCUAAAUUGUCAAUUCUUAAAAAUUCUAAUUACUCUUUCUCGUCUGAUUUUUACAUCGGAUGUCAUGAUCAUUGAUGGAUCAAAUCCCAACUCUGACUACCCAACUCAAGUUGCUCUCUCUCUCUCUCUCUUUCCUAUU
rnacentral:lncRNA from 1 species